GACGAACGCUGGCGGCGUGCCUAACACAUGCAAGUCGAACGGGACUUGCCCCUUCGGGGACAAGUUUAGUGGCGGACGGGUGAGUAACGCGUGAGCAACCUACCUUUCAGUGGGGGACAACAGUUGGAAACGACUGCUAAUACCGCAUAACACUUAUUUAGGGCAUCUUAAAUAAGUCAAAGAUUUAUUGCUGGAAGAUGGGCUCGCGUCUGAUUAGCUAGUUGGUGGGGUAACGGCCCACCAAGGCGACGAUCAGUAGCCGGACUGAGAGGUUGAACGGCCACAUUGGGACUGAGAUACGGCCCAGACUCCUACGGGAGGCAGCAGUGGGGAAUAUUGGGCAAUGGGGGAAACCCUGACCCAGCAACGCCGCGUGAAGGAAGAAGGCCUUCGGGUUGUAAACUUCUUUUACCAGGGACGAAGGACGUGACGGUACCUGGAGAAAAAGCCACGGCUA
rnacentral:rRNA from 1 species